rnacentral:rRNA from 1 species
CGUGUAGGCGGUUUGGUAGGUCCGCUGUGAAAACUCGAGGCUCAACCUCGAGACGCCGGUGGAAACCAUCAGGCUAGAGUCCGGAAGAGGAGAGCGGAAUUCCUGGUGUAGCGGUGAAAUGCGCAGAUAUCAGGAAGAACACCCGUGGCUAAGGCGGCUCUCUAGUACGGUACUGACGCUGAGACGCGAAAGCGUGGGGAGCGAACA